CUGCUAUCACUCUUGGGAUGGGACCCUGCGGUGCAUUAGCUAGUUGGUAGGGGUAACGGGCCUACCAAGGCGAUGAUGCAUAGCCCGAGUUGAGAGACUGAUCGGGCCACAUUGGGGACUGAGACACGGGCCCAAAAACUCCUACGGGGAGGCAGCAGUAGGGAAUCUUCCACAAUGGACGCAAGUCUGAUGGAGCAACGCCGCGUGAGUGAAGAAGGGUUUCGGCUACGUAAAAGCUCUGUUGUUGGUGAAGAAGGACGAGGGGUAGUAACUGACCUUUGUUUGACGGUAAUCAAUUAGAAGUCACGGCUAACUACGUGUCAGCAGUCGCGGUAAU
rnacentral:rRNA from 1 species